GCCAAAUCUUAUUGCGUGCCGACCAAUAUAAUUAUGUGUAAUGACUCCUCGGCCAAAGUACAGUACAGAAUCACACUAAAUAUUUCUUGGCUGUUGAGGGCCAGUGAAAGUAGGAAGUGAAACAAUUGUCGGCCUUGUAUAUUCCAUGCAACAGGCGUCGACGUUCAAGUGAAAGCCCUUAGCCUAGUGGAAGGUGGCCUUUCAGAUGAAGGACAUGAAGGGCUUUCACUGGAAACAUUGACGCUUGUUGCAUCCGACAUACAAGUCCGACUAUUGUACAAUAUAUGGACAUAUGCUUUUCGACCAAAGUCAACUUGACGCGACCCUGAGGAUGCCUUGAAAGCAACGGAUGCAAAAAAGACAACAUACAUUCACGACAAUAUCAUGAUCUCCCAAAAUUAUACACCUCUCCCCAAAUUCAACUCCGGUAUAUAUAGAUAUUAAAGAGUCGCGCAGUUUCC